rnacentral:lncRNA from 1 species
CAGCUCGCCUUACACCGGCGGAGACCUCCACCUACAGCGACAAUUACCAUCCAUGAUUCAUGUGAUACUAGUGCAAUACGGUAUAAGUGUUAACUUCAGAAAUAUACAUGCGACAUGGAGGUAUCCAGAUAUAUAAAUAGUGCUCGAUCGAUAACUUAUUACUGAAUUUGAUCAAUUUUAUAUAUCUAGUAGUUGUUUGUUACAAUAGAAAAAAUUGUCAUAUGAUGACUCUACUGUGCUUAUACUAUUGAAGCAAUAUAUAUGUACAUUGUUCUGAGACGACAAAUAUGUGAUGAUACCUUAUUAUAUUUUUAUCUUUACCUCUCCGUAUCUAAAGGGAGUACAAAAAACGUA